rnacentral:sRNA from 1 species
UUGGGUCAGAAGAACAAAGGUGUAUAGUAAAC